CUGCGUCGAGCGAACAGAUGAGAAGCUUGCUUCUCUGAUGUUAGCGGCGGACGGGUGAGUAACACGUGGGUAACCUACCUAUAAGACUGGGAUAACUCCGGGAAACCGGGGCUAAUACCGGAUAAUAUUUUGAACCGCAUGGUUCAAUAGUGAAAGACGGUUUCGGCUGUCACUUAUAGAUGGACCCGCGCCGUAUUAGCUAGUUGGUAAGGUAACGGCUUACCAAGGCGACGAUACGUAGCCGACCUGAGAGGGUGAUCGGCCACACUGGAACUGAGACACGGUCCAGACUCCUACGGGAGGCAGCAGUAGGGAAUCUUCCGCAAUGGGCGAAAGCCUGACGGAGCAACGCCGCGUGAGUGAUGAAGGUCUUCGGAUCGUAAAACUCUGUUGUUAGGGAAGAACAAAUUUGUUAGUAACUGAACAAGUCUUGACGGUACCUAACCAGAAAGCCACGGCUAACUACGUGCCAGCAGCCGCGGUAAUACGUAGGUGGCAAGCGUUAUCCGGAAUUAUUGGGCGUAAAGCGCGCGUAGGCGGUUUCUUAAGUCUGAUGUGAAAGCCCACGGCUCAACCGUGGAGGGUCAUUGGAAACUGGGAAACUUGAGUGCAGAAGAGGAGAGUGGAAUUCCAUGUGUAGCGGUGAAAUGCGCAGAGAUAUGGAGGAACACCAGUGGCGAAGGCGGCUCUCUGGUCUGUAACUGACGCUGAUGUGCGAAAGCGUGGGGAUCAAACAGGAUUAGAUACCCUGGUAGUCCACGCCGUAAACGAUGAGUGCUAAGUGUUAGGGGGUUUCCGCCCCUUAGUGCUGCAGCUAACGCAUUAAGCACUCCGCCUGGGGAGUACGACCGCAAGGUUGAAACUCAAAGGAAUUGACGGGGACCCGCACAAGCGGUGGAGCAUGUGGUUUAAUUCGAAGCAACGCGAAGAACCUUACCAAAUCUUGACAUCCUUUGACCGCUCUAGAGAUAGAGUCUUCCCCUUCGGGGGACAAAGUGACAGGUGGUGCAUGGUUGUCGUCAGCUCGUGUCGUGAGAUGUUGGGUUAAGUCCCGCAACGAGCGCAACCCUUAAGCUUAGUUGCCAUCAUUAAGUUGGGCACUCUAGGUUGACUGCCGGUGACAAACCGGAGGAAGGUGGGGAUGACGUCAAAUCAUCAUGCCCCUUAUGAUUUGGGCUACACACGUGCUACAAUGGAUAAUACAAAGGGCAGCGAAUCCGCGAGGCCAAGCAAAUCCCAUAAAAUUAUUCUCAGUUCGGAUUGUAGUCUGCAACUCGACUACAUGAAGCUGGAAUCGCUAGUAAUCGUAGAUCAGCAUGCUACGGUGAAUACGUUCCCGGGUCUUGUACACACCGCCCGUCACACCACGAGAGUUUGUAACACCCGAAGCCGGGGAGUAC
rnacentral:rRNA from 2 species